AAUCAACGCUGGCGGCGUGCCUCAGACAUGCAAGUCGAACGUGAAAGUUCCUUCGGGAAUGAGUAAAGUGGCGCACGGGUGAGUAACACGUGGGUAAUUUGCCUUCGGGUGGGGAAUACCAACCGGAAACGGUUGUUAAUACCGCAUGAUGCAGCGGCUCCGAUUGGAGACAGUUGUUAAAGCGGGGGGAGCGGAGUAAUCCGUCCUCGCGCCUGAAGAGAAGCCCGCGGCGGAUUAGGUAGUUGGGAGGUAAUGGCUCACCAAGCCUGCGAUCCGUAACCGACCUGAGAGGGUGGUCGGUCACACUGACACUGACAUACGGGUCAGACUCCUACGGGAGGCAGCAGUCGGGAAUUUUGGGCAAUGGGCGCAAGCCUGACCCAGCAACGCCGCGUGAAGGAUGAAGCAUUUCGGUGUGUAAACUUCGCAAGAACAGGAAGAAUAAGUGAAUACUAAUACCGUUCAUGAUGACGGUACUGUUUGUAA
rnacentral:rRNA from 1 species